rnacentral:rRNA from 1 species
UACGGGGGGGGGCAAGCGUUGUUCGGAAUUACUGGGCGUAAAGGGUUUGUAGGUGGCUUGUUAAGUCAGACGUGAAAUCCCUCAGCUUAACUGGGGAACUGCGUCUGAGACUGGUGAGCUUGAGUGCAGGAGAGGAACGCGGAAUUCCAGGUGUAGCGGUGAAAUGCGUAGAUAUCUGGAGGAACACCGGUGGCGAAGGCGGCGUUCUGGACUGCAACUGACACUGAAAAACGAAAGCCAGGGGAGCAAACGGG